GAAGUGAACAGAACCUUCACUCAGGCAUUAUUGAUCAUGGUUUCUAUGUUGCAACUGGGUGAAUCUUCAUUUCUUCCUCAUCCAAUUGAUAAUGAUUCACGUGAUAGGAUUGUCCUCUGUAUUAGACUGCUAAGCAAUACUGGUGAUGAAGUGAGGAAGAUAUGGUUGCAAUCUUGCAGACAAAGCUUUGUGAAAAUGCUGGCUGAAAAACAGCGCCAUGAAACUGAAGAGUUAAAAGCCAGAGCUCAGAUAUCCCAUGCACAGCCAGAUGAUCUAAUUGAUUUUUACCACUUAAAAAGCAGGAAGGGCAUGAGUCAGCUAGAACUGGAAGAUGAGGUCCAAGAUGAUCUUAAGCGUGCUACUGGAGAGUUUACAAAGGAGGGGGAUGAUGCCAACAAACUCAACCGCAUUCUUCAACUAACUGGAUUUAGUGAUCCUGUUUAUGCAGAAGCUUAUGUCACUGUUCAUCAUUAUGACAUUGUUCUUGAUGUUACAGUGAUUAAUAGAACCAAAGAGACUCUUCAGAAUUUG
rnacentral:misc_RNA from 1 species